rnacentral:ncRNA from 2 species
GGUCUCGCCCAGGGGAGCCUCGCCGCUGGCGCGCUUUGCGCGUGGCAAGAGGCUGAGAGGCCGAAUAGCUUUUUUAAAAAGCGGCUCGGCGACCCUUCGAACCUGAUCCAGUUCGCGCUGGCGUAGGGAGGCCGCAUGUUCCUGAU